rnacentral:lncRNA from 1 species
AUGGGACGUAAUCCCUCCGUCUCUAAACACGCGAGGGCGAAUGGAAAACAAGGCCGCGCCAAGAACAAGCAGAACAUCUGCAGGGCGGUGACACGAAGGCGGAGGGGACGUCAGGCUCACUCAGAGGCGGCCAAACAGAUGGCCGAGGUGACAGCGGCAGCAGACGCCGGGAUCGGCGGCGGCCUCCCCCGCGGCGCAAAGCCGGCCUGUCGAGACAAACGGGCCCGCUCCUGUUUAGACUGGGCCGGCGCCAGUCGUCCCCUCGCUUCGCCUCAGCAGCGACAGGUGAGUGCCGUCAGCGCGGCCGAUCCAUCAUCCCCGACGAGCUGUCCGGGAAACACAAGGAGCGCGUUCCACCAGCUCCGAGGGUGAAUCUGUUGGUGAAGAGCAAAAAGACAGGAGGCUAAUUACAAAGGGCUCAUUUAUCCCUGGUAAGAAGCUACAAACACUCAACUUGUGAUUGUUUAUUACUGAAAAAGUCCAAUUUUACUUUAAACGACCAACGUCUACACAGGGAGUUUCGUUGUGUCUCAUUAAUCACUAGCUGUCACAUUACAAGGAUGUAGCAGCAUGAGAGCAGCUGUUCAUGAUGUUAUGAAUGAUCUUAUGUUAUUGUGUCUGUGCUCUCUGGAUCAGUGACGACCUCUGAUCCUCUGUGGGUCAGUACUGCUUCACUGUGGUGAAGAAAAAUCAUUCAGUCCAUAAAGUUUGUGCAAAUAUAUGAAUUCAACACUGAUGUGGUAGUAUGGUCUUAUUGUCUCAUUUCUUCUAUGUCUGUAUUUAUUCAUUGGCAAAAUGUAGCCACAGGUCUAAACCGGGUCCCAGUGUGAAGCAAUACAUUACAUCUAAAAUGUCUGAUGUUUAUAAAUAUUAGUAAUCACUCAGGAAAACAGCCGUAGCUUCAGAUUGAACCUGAGUCUGUGUGAGUGAGUGUCAUUUUUUUUUUUUGAGUGAGUGAGUGUCAUUAAAAUUAGUAGUUGAGAAUCAAAUCAGCUGAGAUGCAGAUGAAGACAGAUCUUGAAUGGUAAAAUCUAAAACGCUUCUAUUCCACUGGCAGCUCUUUAAACAACAGAGACUCUUUGGUCCUUGAGUGAUAGAAAUUUAAGUGCAGCAGAAUGUCAGCGCUAACAAUAGGCCACAGGUUACAUGGCAUGCUCCAUUUAAAAGGCUAAUCCUGCCUCACCUGUGCUGCAGCCUGGACUCCCCAGCUCCCCGCUGAGCUGCACACACACACACACACACACACACACACACACACACACACACACACACACACACACACACACACACACACAGCUGCGGGGACAGUUA